AAUGGUCUAACGACUGAACCAGCAAUUUGGAAGAACGUAUAAUGAAUGUAUUAUUUAAAGUUCUAGAUAAAAUAUUUAUAAUGACUAUUUUUUAUCUAUAAGUCUUGGCCAAAUUACGUGCCAGCAGUCGCGGUAAUACGUAAAAGACGAGUGUUAUUCAUCUUUAAUCGGUUUAAAGGGUACCUAGACGGAAAAUCAAGCUUAAUUAAACUAAGGACUAAUUUUCUAGAGUUUGACAUGAGAAGGUACGAACUAUCAGAGGAGAGAUAAAAUUUGUUGAUACUGGUGGGACGGACAACGGCGAAGGCAAUCUUCUACUAAAAACUGACGUUGAGGGACGAAGCCUUGGGGAGCGAGAAGGAUUAGAUACCCUAGUAGUCCUUGGAGAAAAUUAUGAGUGCCAUAGGCUAAAGUGAAACAAGUCUCUUAAGUGUUCAAUUUCUAAAUAAAAAAAAAAAGUAGCUAAGAGAUUUAAAAUAGCAGCCUAUAAAUGAAAGUGUAAGCAUUCCACCUCAUGACUAAAGCGGCAACGCCCAAAUUGAAAUCAUUAGACCGUUUCUGAAACCAGUAGUGAAGUAUGUUAUUUAAUUCGAUAACCCGCGAAUAACCUUACCACGUUUUGAAUUUUUAAACAAGUGUUGCACGGCUGUCUUCAGUUAAUGUCGUGAGAUUUUGGUUUGUUCCAUUAAUUAACGAAAACCCUUGUUUCAUUUUUAAAUGAAAUAGUUCCCCGCUAUAUUGGAAAGAUAAAAGGGAUCAAGACAAGUCAUCAUGGCCUUAAUAACG
rnacentral:rRNA from 1 species